AUCGAAGUGAUCUCAAAGUAAGUGUACUCCGUGGAGCAAAGCUUCACACAUGUGGUUUCCUGACAUUCGGCGCCCCCGUCGUUAAAAGGUUUUUGACUAAGGGUGGAAUCGACGGCCGCUGAGCGCCGUGCGCGAGUCGGACGACCGUUUUAUGCGGUUACACCGUCGGUAAAAUAAUAAUGAGUGACUCUGCCUUGUGCACACCAUCCCAUCUACUUACUGUGGCGAGUUGCGAGGUUGAUAAAUUUUGCUGAUGAAAAUUCCACUCAGUGGCUCUGAACAAAGCUGUGUAGCAUUUCCCUCGCUCCUUAACAGCGACACACGGCUUUCGUAUCCAAAUGGUAUUCCGUAACAUACUGCGUGAUGUUGAAAGGUACACCAUCCGACAUCCGGCCCCGGUCAAGAAUUCUUACCUUGCUAAAAGGAUACGACAGAAACGGGCAAUUUUAGGGCACAUAAAGGAAGAACUUCCUUCUCGAAGGACUGCGAAUCCGUCCAGACGCGGGGAAUCGCCUGUGUGGUUGGUAUCUGUCGCGUGCCAGCGAAUUAUGCUGACGACAGAGCAGCACGAACUCAUGGAGUAGCUUGAGAGACGCCAGUAACACCUGGUGGUAGACGGCCUUGGUGGCGAGUUCGCAGAAAGGGAGGAAGAAGGAAUAUCCGCAGAAACCAGCUCCACGUUGUGAGUUUUCGUGAAGACAUUGCGUUGCCGGGCACUCACACCUGCAUCUAGAAGUGUGGCCUUCUUUCGGAUGCCGACCCACUAUAGUCUGUCGGAGGCGAAAAGACGUGAGGUGACGCGACCGCGACUUCAACUGCGUUUCGUAAGGCCACCCCAUGGCGAAUUUUGAAGAACCUGCUACUGCCUUUCAAGAAUGUAACAUGCCAGUGCAACUAUCCUGCUGUCUCCAGAGGCAAUGGUACGAGCAGACAGUUGUUCUCUAUAUAUGGAAUUUCACACGUAUAUAGCAUAUAUAUAUACAGAUGUAUGUAUACCUCUACCACCAAUUCAUGGGCUUUUAUCUACAGAUGCACCACGAUAUUCGCAACGACGUCUAUACUAUGGGUUCCUGAAUAGGAAUGACGCCUUUACUCUCUCUUGACUAUGUUAUGUUCACACAAACGGUCUGGUAAAGCGCUGACGUUUAUCCAUUGUACCUGUCGGCUGGUGAGUAUCCUCGUCAUGUGCGGUUCCCGCUAGACAUUCCUUGCGCUUGCCGGAGGCGCUUGGGCAUUCUUGUUGCAAGGGUAUAGCCACCAAAUGUAACAUGCAGCAACAGCAUUAUUGUCUUUUUCUCAAGAGUCCGAAUACACACCCGUAAGUUACUCUGCUGAGAAGAUGGCCCGUAUCUGCCUGGGAGCGCAAAGCACUUAAGGUUUGUGGUGCCCAAAUCUCUCCGACGAUACUGAAGAUUACCAGCAAUGAGCACCUGUCUCCUUUUUGCAAUCUGUGGUGGUCGUCCUGUUUCGUACCCGUUGAUGUUUGGACGUAACUACGCAUCACGCAGUGAGCCGUCGAGUGAUUCCGUAGUCUACAUCAUUUUAAGACGUAUUUUGUCACGGGUAGGCAUCGUACAAAGGCCGCAGCUUGUGAUGCAUCGCUUUCUCAGAAGGAAUAUGCGAGCCAUAUACAUCAGGACUCAAACCUGAAUCGCUUGAAAGCCUUCAAGUAGCAGGAAGCACAGAGCGCCGGGUGGACUGCUGAACGACAAUCAGCACCACGCAUAGGAAACUGAGACUCCCGCUACGAUCCUGUGGCAAUGCUGCGUGAACCGCUACUACAGUAAUUGGGAUGGUAGUUAAGGGACCACGUGUUACCUUCGCUGGAUGACUGCUUGAGUGUGUUUUUACAGCGUUCGGUCGUCUAUGAGGGAUGCGUCGGAUUUUUUCUUCCGACUGAAGCAUUCUUGAAUGUUAUGUCGGAGCAGAUACGCGAUGAAGCCUCCUCGCCCUCGAGCAAACUAUUCCAGUUAAUCCGGUCGAUCUGAUGCUCUUACGCAGUCUGGUUCCUUGCUUUCGAUGGUGUUUCCAAAGCACGUGUUUCGCAGUACCUCAUACAUACCCAGUACGUGAUUACCGGUUCCGCGGACUUGACGCUGCUCCUGUCCUAGCACGGGUGUUUCGAUGAAAGUUCCGGAUUACAUGUAGCGUUUUUGCGCGCUCUGCUUUACUGUUAGGGGGUUAAGCGUCUUGUUUAUUGUUGCUCCCUAAGUUCGUG
rnacentral:lncRNA from 1 species